rnacentral:tRNA from 1 species
CAUAGUGUAGCUUAACAACACAAAGCAUCUGGCUUACACCCAGAAGACUCCCUGCACACGGACAUUAUGA